rnacentral:rRNA from 1 species
GACGAACGCUGGCGGCGUGCUUAACACAUGCAAGUCGAACGGUGAACGAGGGAGCUUGCUCCCUCCGGAUCAGUGGCGAACGGGUGAGUAACACGUGAGCAAUCUGCCCCGAACUCUGGGAUAAGCGUUGGAAACGACGUCUAAUACCGGAUACGACGCGGGAGGGCAUCCUCUCCGCGUGGAAAGAACUUCGGUUCGGGAUGAGCUCGCGGCCUAUCAGCUUGUUGGUGAGGUAACGGCUCACCAAGGCGACGACGGGUAGCCAGCCUGAGAGGGUGACCGGCCACACUGGGACUGAGACACGGCCCAGACUCCUACGGGAGGCAGCAGUGGGGAAUAUUGCACAAUGGGCGCAAGCCUGAUGCAGCAACGCCGCGUGAGGGACGACGGCCUUCGGGUUGUAAACCUCUUUUAGCAGGGAAGAAGCGAAAGUGAUGGUACCUGCAGAAAAAGCACCGGCUAACUACGUG